AAUAGAUACCCUGGUAGUCCACGCCCUAAACGAUGUCAACUGGUUGUUGGGAGGGUUUCUUCUCAGUAACGAAGCUAACGCGUGAAGUUGACCGCCUGGGGAGUACGGCCGCAAGGUUGAAACUCAAAGGAAUUGACGGGGGACCCGCGCAAGCGGUGGAUGAUGUGGUUUAAUUCGAUGCAACGCGAAAAACCUUACCUACCCUUGACAUGCCAGGAACUUGCCAGAGAUGGCUUGGUGCUCGAAAGAGAGCCCGGACACAGGUGCUGCAUGGCCGUCGUCAGCUCGUGUCGUGAGAUGUUGGGUUAAGUCCUGCAACGAGCGCAACCCUUGUCAUUAGUUGCUACGAAAGGGCACUCUAAUGAGACUGCCGGUGACAAACCGGAGGAAGGUGGGGAUGACGUCAGGUCAUCAUGGCCCUUAUGGGUAGGGCUACACACGUCAUACAAUGGCCGGUACAGAGGGCUGCCAACCCGGCGAGGGGGAGCCAAUCCCAGAAAACCGGUCGUAGUCCGGAUCGCAGUCGUGCAA
rnacentral:rRNA from 1 species